CCUGGCCUUUGGAAUAGGCAAUGUUGACAGACUGAGGGAACAUUUCUGCCAUUUCCCUGAAUGACAAUGCUCAGCAGGGACAUGGAAAGCAUAGGAACUCGUGGCUGAGAAAGCAGAACUAACAAGCUCAAGACCGUUAGUCCAGUGCAGAACAGAGCCUCUCCACCACUCAAUACAAUUUGUACUGGAAUUUGAAGAAGAAAUACAUCUGUGUUUUGGAAAAUUGCUGAUGCCACUAAAAUUUGGAGAUUGCCUGUACAGCCAUUAGGAAACCUUUACUACUAACCAGCGAAUGAUACAGAGAGAGAGAAAGUUGGGUUAACCCUGGGCUGGCCAAAAUACACCAGGUGAAGGCCAAGGCUUCUGUGGUCAAAGAACCUGCCCAAAGACACACCACUAUUGAACUCAGACCCUGCGAACUCUCCACCCUGCCUGGGAGUUGCUGAGCUGUCAGGCCAGGGGCUGUGCACGUGAGUGCAAGUAGACCUUGUCAUCAAGGUGGUAUUCAAUUGUGCUUUUAAAAAAUGCAAUAAACCCAUUAUUGUGAAGUUGAACAUUUUUCUCCAUAUCAUGCCAAGCCCUAAACUGCUCAGAGAUCUAAACAUACUUUCUUUUAAGUACCAGUGGGACAGUUUUUAAUCCUUGCCAGGGGACAUAUAACACCAUCUUGCAAGCUGGUGGCUGUAUCUCGAAGGCCCUGUAUGAAAUGAUAGUGACGUAGGGGUAGCUCAAGGAGGGGAUGGGAAUCCAAGUGAGACUGUACAGAUGAGCCCCUUCAAACCACGUGGCUCAGCACAGGCAGCAAGAGGACCCACAGUCUACUGCGAGCACAGUGAGAAGGCAAUCAAGUGUUUCUCACAGAUAACGAUAUCCGGCAUCUACAUAACACCCACUGCAUAGCAGUUACCAUUCUAAAUUCUCUACUUGCCUUGAGAUAUUUAAUCCUCACCUCUUCCCCAAGAAGUAAGUACUAUUGUUAUCUCCAUUCUUACAGAUGAGGAGACAGAAACUAAAAAGAUCAGGUGGGCUGAGCAAAGUCAUACAGGUAUUAGGCGCUGGAGCCAUAUCAGCUCAAGAGUUCAUCCUGGAAAUCAGUAUGCUACCAGGACUCUUUGAGCAUUUGUAGUGUACUAAUGCAUAUAAUCCUAGCAAUAAUCCUAGAAUGUGUCAUCAUUGCUAUUUAAAGAAGGGGAAACUGAGGCCUAGAAAUUUUCAAAAGGAAAGCAUUUUAGCUGAUCUUGACAUUAUCAACCAGAGUAAUAGCUAUCAUUGUAAUCAACAUUCACU
rnacentral:lncRNA from 10 species